CACGUAGGCGGAUUGCUAAGUCAGGGGUGAAAUCCUGGAGCUCAACUCCAGAACUGCCUUUGAUACUGGCGAUCUCGAGUUCGGGAGAGGUGAGUGGAACUGCGAGUGUAGAGGUGAAAUUCGUAGAUAUUCGCAAGAACACCAGUGGCGAAGGCGGCUCACUGGCCCGAUACUGACGCUGAGGUGCGAAAGCGUGGGAGCAAACA
rnacentral:rRNA from 1 species